AUGGUCUCCUCAUGCCACCUUCUCUGGCUGCUGGUGCUCUGGGCUCAGGAUUCCCAAGGAGCCAUUGUGAUGAGCCAAUCUCCAGCUUCUCUGUCCAGAUCUCCAGGAGAGACAGUCACCAUCAGCUGCAGGGCCAGUGAGAGCCUUACUAAAAAUAUCUUAGUAACUAAGCUUCAGUUAUUAAAUUGGUACCAGCAGAAGCCUGGCCAAGCCCCCAGGCUCCUCAUCUAUGCUGCUACCAAUCUGGAAUCCGGGGUGCCUGCCCGCUUCAGUGGCAGGGGAUCUGGGACAGAUUUUACUCUCACCAUCAGCAACCUGGAGCCUGAAGAUGCUGCAGAUUAUUACUGUCAGCAGUCUAAGAGCUUCCCUCUCCCACAGUGCUUCAGCCCUGAACAAAAACCUCUCUGGGCUCUUCAGUGGAGGCAGCUCAGAGCAGCAGCUGCUUCCUCCAUGGUCCCAGGGCAGAGCAGCUUCCACCCCUGCUGA